ACGUCUCGACAACUCUGAGAUAUGGAGGCAUAGGAAGCUCUGGGAUCCUGGAAGAAAAUGUAAAAGAGAAAUUGGGACCCCAGGACAAGAAGUCCAAGAGAAAUGGCAGAAGACUCCUACGCAAUCUCUGUCACCACCGUAGGGGCAAAGGCAGAGCAAUUGGGACCAAUGACCCCAACUAGGAACAUAGCCUGGACACUUGGGCAAACAGCUGAUAGGAGUUCAUUUUGUGAAGCUGUCACGAGUUUUCCAGUAGACCAUGAGCUUGCUGAUGGCAGGAGCCUGCCUGUCCUUGAUCCUUGUUUCUGUGGGGUCUAUCCCAGUGCCUGGCACAGUGGCUUUGGAGAUGGAAGGAAUAGAGGGAGAGCAGAUCCUCAAACACAGCCUGCAUCUCUCCCUGCUCCCCUCCCACCCUCCAGUUUUCCAGCCAGAGGCAUUUGCUCUAAGGCCCAGGCUGUGGCCCACCUAUCACCGCUACCCAAGUAGUACAGGAAAAGGAAAUUUGAAGAGGAAAAGAGGCACCAGGGAUGAGGACACACCGAGAAAAGACCAUGUGAAGACAUGGCGAGAAGACAGCCAGCUGCAAGCCAAGGAGUGAGGCCUCAGAAGAAACCAACCCUGCCGACACCUUGACCUUGGACUUCUAGUCUCUAGAAUUAUGCGAAAAUAAAUUCCUGUUGUUUAAGCCACCCA
ensembl:lncRNA novel transcript